ensembl:lincRNA
AGGAGUUAGUGACAAGGAGGGCUCGCUCUUGGGGCUAGUGGUGGGGAGGCAGUGGCCAGUUCAGGGCUCAGAUGAGAGAGGUGGCAGAGUUAGAGGCAGCCACUAGGAUGGGGGUGCGAGGAGAAGCGGCGCUCAGUAUAAAGGAGACUAGAUUUUGGGACAGUGGUCGUGUGGAAGGCAGCUUCCAAAGCGCCUUUAACAAUCCACACAGAGCCAGCCACCUUCAAGACCAGGCUAUCCCUGCUGUCUGCUGGCAUGGGGGCACUUGAUGUCCAGGAGGGCACAAGUUUCACAGGCCUACAUGGGGGCAGUGUCCCAGCUUGAGUGGCAGAGCAGCAGUUGGAGGAGACGGGUGGACUGGGGGCCCUUGAGGUCCCGGAAAUCAUAGAGGACAGGCAGUGAGUCGGGCAGAACUAGGUGCGGAGUGGAGGUCACCUUUGAUCUUGACAAAACCAGCAGACCCCUUUUUUUCCAGAUAAGGGGUUGUGAACCCACCUGGGGAUGAGGCCUGGUCUUAUGGAAGGUGGACUUAGCUUCGCUGGGCGGACAGCUCUGGCCCAGGGUGGUAUGUAAUUUGGGUGUGGCCUGUCUGCACCCACUUCUGGGUGCAAGGGGAGGCCGGAGGAGGCUGCAGAGACAAGGAGUCGUUUUUACUGCCAGGUCUGCCAGGCAUGGAGACCAUGGAGACUGAAGGCGCAAGUCUUGGGGCCAUAUUAAUCACAACUUUAUUUUUCAGAUAGCAGUGCCCUCUCUGGACUUUGCCUAGGUUCCGUGGUUCCUCUUCUGUGGUCUCACUCUUCCCUACUCUCCCCCUCACUCUGAGGUUAAGGGGUCACUUAAAGCCUUGCCUCUGGGUCAUCUGGUAAGCCUGAGGAGGAUGUAGAGUCCGUGCUGGAGUCUUGGGCACAACAUUUUGGUAAAGGUGGAGGACACCCUGACUGGGCGGGGAGGGAUGGUGUUGAUUCACAGAGGGCGGGAUGUGAAUGUGGACCCUGGGGUGGGCUCACAGCCAUGUUUCCAGUCACCCAAAUGCUUCAUGGACAUGGUUAUCACUAUAGUGUACACCAUGGCAAGCAGAUGGCACCAGGAGAAAUGGAGCCCCUGCCAGUGUGAGUCGUAGCAGUGCAGGAGGGCUCACCCUGGAGGAGACAGCGGCCUCGGCUGAUGCCUACACAGUGAAUUCCAGAGGCUUAGGAAGCGCGUCCCUGCCCUGGGUCCAGGCCUUUCUCAGGAAGCCCUGUGUUCAGGAGGCCAUCGUUGAAGUCAGCUUGUAGGGGGUGGGCAGGUGCUUCCAGCCGGAGGGGUCGUCGGCUGUGAAUGUUCCAGAUGAAUGUCUUGUUCUGAGAGCGUCAUUCUUUGCGGAUGCAUGAAUGCCAGCAGGCACCCUUUUUCCUGGUGGUAGAGGCGUUCAUUCGGCUGCUGCAUCUUCUAAACAAGCCUCCAUCCAGCCUUUGUAGUUCUGUGCUGCGAACUUGGCCUCAAGAAGAUUCCGUAAGGUGUAGGACACUUUUUAACUUCUGCGCAGCGUGCUGUACUGUAGAUCGGGAGCCCAGUGACCUCGCCCACCUUCCCUGCUUCUGCAGCCUGCCUGCCUCUGCAUUGGUCAGAGGGAUUCUUAACUGAAAACUUGUGGGUGUUGGGGAAAGCUGUUGGGUUGUAAAUGACUGGUGUGGAGGAGUCUUCCUUGGAUGGAGUUGGUUGUUAAAUGGGUAGGGUUUGUGGUUUAACAGUGGGAAGGCGCAAGUUAGCCACAAAUUCUGCCGACUUGGUAGAUGCCGUAUCUAAUUUGGGCUUUGGGACGUCUUCUGGACUAAGAAGGGGACGGUGGGCCUGAAGUGGUCCCUGGGAAUGGUCUCUCGGAGGCUGUGGGUUUCGUACUGGGUGGGUGAGUGGCAACAGUGGUUCUGGCCCCUUUUGCUCAUUAGCUUUUAUGACUUAGGGCCUGGCUGUGUGUAUACCAGGCUGGCCUGGGUUCUCAGCCCUGCUCUCAGAUGACAGUGUCCUCUGAAACAUGGCUUUCCAAGGUGAAACCUGAGUUACGGAUCGAGCUUGGGAAUACUUUUGGCACCAGAUAUGGGACUUGUGGGAGAAAGCAGGGCUCAGCUUGGCAUUGGUGGAUUGAAGGAGGAUUGUACCUGGAACUGUGGGUUGAUGGGAAUAACAGUUUGGGAACUAAAUAGGUCACAUGAAGAUCUAAAGGCUGAUGGUAAAUCCCUACUGCGGGUGACACUACUUUGAGAUGCAGUUGCUUGGAAAAUACUAAAAUCCUACAAGGGGAAAAGCAAAAUUGUUUUGCUUCACUGUUGAAUGGGGAAGGGUGACAUUGAAAGCUUUUCUUAGUUACUCAAUAGAUGGUGUCACUACCCUGACCCAGGCGGGCCACAGGCCGUGGGGUGGAGCCUGGUGCGGCAGAGCUGAUGGUCAAGAAUUGAAGCUGGGAGGGGCUUGGUAAACGCCUCCAUUGUGGGCUCUGAAACCAUAGUACGGGAGGUUGGCAGACUUUUCUGGGUCUCUAUUGAAAUACUGUCACACUGUGUGAUUAGGAAUUACAAUGCUGCUAUCUAAAGGAAUUUCAUAUGGGAAUCAUGCCUUAUACAACACAUACAGGAAUUUAAUGUGUGAGCCAUGCCUUCAAAACAUCUUGAAUUUCUGGAAUUGGCCAGAAGACAACAGGGUCUGCUCAUUUAACCUUGCAAAUCAGUCAUUGUGACAAGGGGACGGGGUCUUGCGCUUGCUAUGAGAUCAUUGUGAUGCUUGUAGAAACUGAAUACAUCCAUUGUGGGUUUGGCUUGAAUGGUGCUUUAAAUCCAUCCCUGAGCAGAGGGGAAGCUGUUAAACUGUCAGUCAAAGCAGUUUGGGAAAUAAAAGAGACUGGGCCCGGGGUCAUCUUACUAGAUAACACUUUGUAAAAAUUGGUUCUGAAAACCCUGUUUAUUUGUGUAUUUGUGAAAACCCUGUGGUUGUUUUGUGAGUAUGCUUAAAGUGGUGUGACCAGGGCAAGAUCGCUUACUGGAACAGCUGUGUGGAAUGGGGAAAUGUGACUGUAACUGCAGGUCGGUCGCACCCGCUUCUCUGUACUAAAGUGUUCAGUGUACAAACCCUCUAAUCAUUUUUCUCCCCUUUACAGCAAAAUAAAGGUUUGAGAUUGAAGCUCCUUAGAAUUGUCAUGGCUGUUACAUUCUCGACCUCUUUCACUUUACCUUCAUAUAGUUAGGCCAAGAUGCACUGCACCAUGGAAGCAGUUAGAGCAGGUCUGGUCUAAGCAGCCUGUCAACUCUGAGAGGGAAGGGCUGCUCACUGUGAGCGGACAAUGGCUGCAGACAUGACACUGAGUUACAUGGGAUAAUGGCACUGCAGGUAAGGGAGUAUUCUGAGCAUGAUCUAGAUCAUAUUCCAAAUAGUAUGGCUUUUUAGUUUGGGAAAAAUGUCUUUAUGGUAUGAGCUUUUCAUAUUUUCACUCUUGGAAGCUGGUGUGGGCUUGAGAUUUCAGUCUGUACAUGCAAUUCUGUCUGCCUAAAGAGCGGGGGCUUGGGCUGCUUUUGUGUUUUUUGGUACAUGACUAAGGUUUUUUACCAUGGGAAGGGUGUGGUCAGAAGCCCUGGGAAUCCAGGAAGUGGGCCACGCCUUGUAAACAGUCCUGGGUAUGUAGCUAAUCCAUUAUAGGAGCCAACCUGCCCUGAAUUUGGCUGAGUGGUGUGUCAUUAAAGCUGGAAAAUGUUACUGCUUAGACAGAUUGUGAGUUUAGAACCCUGCCAGCCUCUGCUAGGACUGGAGCCUGCUUGCUGAGAGCAGAGGGUAGCCUGUGGCUCUGUAUGGAACUGUUGUCUCGGCGGCAAGGAUGAGUCUUGAACUGGAGUAGGUUGGAGACCAAGCAGAGGGUGGGAAGUGAGAGCCGCCAGGCUGGCUGUGUUCUCAUUCCUGUGUAUUGUAUUGUUCUUUUUUUUUUGGUCAGUCUGUCAGUGACCUCUCUCUUGUGCUGAGAAGUCAGAAUGGGGUGUCCCAGUAGUGCUGUCUAGGCUUCUGGGACUCCAAGGGUUAAGUUCACCCACAAUUUUUUUCUUUUUACUCAUUUUGGUAUUUUGAGGAAAGGUUUCACUAUAUAGCUCAGACUGGCCUAGAAUUCAACGAUCUACUAAUGACCGCCUCCCAAAUGUGUCUGGGAUUAGAGGUGUGUGCCUGUGCGCCGUCACGCCUGUCUACCUGCCUCUGUGUCUGGUUUAUCCCAGCGACAUUCUGGCUUCUUACCUAGUUUCUGCGCCUCCACUUUCCUCUUAUCGGACCUUUUGGGUUUUAUACUUACAAAGCUCUCCAUGUUGUGUCAGCGGGCUGGUAAGGAAUACUUCCCCAGCUGUGUUAGAGGUGGCUCACUAACAAGCCAAAGGCUGAGCUCUCCCGAGUGGAGACUUGUAAGACUUGGCUUGAGUUUAUUUACUUGUUUUGAGACAUUCUUACUCUGUAGCCCAGGAUGGUACGAAGCUCAUAAUAAUCCUCUCUCAGCCUUGCGAGUGUUGGGACACAGAUGUGAGUCACCGGGGUGAUCGGAUGGCCGUCCUAUCACCCACCAUUCCUCAACCAGAAGCCUUGGAUUGGGUUCAUGCUCUGAGCUCCCAGCGGCAGCUGGGGUUCUGUAGUGCUGACGAUGAUCCUGUGACUGGAAUGCUGUGGGGCAGGAAGCAACAAACGUUCUUUAGAGAUAAACAUGUUCUGACAGCAACCAUAGACUCCUCCCAGCUUGGAAACACUGGCAAGUUCAGAUGUUGGCCUGCUACAAAAAGGGAAUGACGUUUCCAAUCCUGACAACCCCGACAUGUGCCAUUGAGUUUAUCUUAGGAUGUUAAGCCACCAGAAGAACCUUUAAUGUGAGCUUAUGUCUGCAUUGCUCAGGGCCUGCGGAAGCAUUAACCGGGGCCAUGUCCAUGCCUUAGGUGCUGUUGCUGAAGCAAGUAAUGUAGGGGCUUCUGACAGGCUAAUAUUUGUAUGUCCUUCCCAAAAUCUGGAUGCAAAUAGGAUUGUCAGGAAGAGAACAAAACAAAAAUAAGGUAUCAGGUGGGAUCCUGAGUCCUUCUGGGAUAGGAUGCCCUCCUCGAACCUGUGCUAGGCUGCUGAGGGCAACUGUCACCUGCCUCUGUCCUUCCCACACCUCAGUGCUUUCUUACUGAGUUCUCAAGCAUAAAAAAGGUUGGACUGUAAGUUUUGCAGAAAAGCAAAUGGGGGAAAACACUCUUUUCCAUUAACGAGCGCACCGGCACAUGUCUCAGACUUUUCUCUUCCUGGGCAUCAGCUCUACACGUACACUUUGACAACAGUGGGAUUGUGCCUUGGUUCUGUCUAGAAUGGGUUUUCUGUGGUGCAUAGUGAGAACUGUGUCCUGACAUUCAAAGCUUCCUUUUAGUAGUUCCAAAUGCUCUACUGCAUUACUGUCUGUUUAAACAAUCCUAUUUACACACGAACACGCGUGGAGGGAGAGGACGACUUCCUCCCGCAGCAGGUGCUGUCCGCUGCUGGGCAGGCGUGCCAGCCUGCCUUCAGCUGUUGGUUUCCUUUUGGGAAAUCAGGGUUUAGUGACUGACUUGUUGCUCAAGCUGCUUCACCUCUGUUAAGAUAUCAAAAUCAGUUUCUAGAAUAAAACGACUGUCAAAUCCUCUUAACUGUAGGCUCACAUUGCUCAGUUGUUGUCCAGCGGGCUUUUUCUGAGGUACUGUUCUGUAAACGUUUCUGUGAAGCUAGUGUGUGCAUAGACCUGAGUAGUGUGGCUGGCAGUGUACAUGGACAAUGUUACGAUUCCAGCUUCCCUGUGUGUGUAUACAUACCAUUGGCUCACAGAGUGUCCUUAGCAUUUGAUUGGUUGGUUGAUUGAUUGCCAUUGUAACACUUUGUGGUCAGGUACACUCCGCAGAAACUUUAGCCAUUAUAAGUCCAGUUUAGUGGUGUUUAGCAGAUUAGAGUUGGACAACUGGCCUCCAGACCUUGCAAAAUCUGAAACUACCCGUUAGGCAACUUAAAAUGUGGUUUUCCCAGUCCCUUUCUGUGAGUGGCUACUUGUAUGUAGAAUAAUAGUGUUUCUCUUGUCUUAGUUAUUUUCAGUGUUAGGCGUGUGUAUGGAGGUCAGAGAUCCCAGGGCUCAACCUCAACCAUCAGGUUUGUGCCACCGGCAACUUUAUCCACUGGAAUCCAGCCUUGAUCUUGUUGACUGAUGAUUUUUCAUCUUGGUUGUAUGAUUCUCUUUGCUUUCAUACAAGCUAAGUCAUUGGUAUUUUGUACCUUUUUCAGCAUCUGUGUGCUGAUAAGCAUGCUCCUAUUGCCUCUGCCUGUGGGCCUCUUGUUCUUGUGUCUUCCCUGCUGUGGGAUGGAUGGGUGGAUGGAUGCAGAUAUCUUUCUGAGAACGCAUCUUCAGCUGUUUAGGAUACAGCACAGGCAUCCUGAUGGAUGUAGGGUGACUGACAGACAUUCACUGUGGUCUCCCACUCCGUAUGCCUAUUGGCCAUGUCCUUGGAGUCCUUUUUAUGCUUAAAAGGCUAUGGAUUUGUUAACCACUGUUGACCUGCAGGAUUUGGCUGUCUUCUGGGUGUUAGCUCUGUGAUCAGCUAUGACUUCCCCGACGUUUUCUUCCACUCCAUAAAGGUGCCUGCUGAGCUGUUUUUCUUGUAGUGGCAUGUAUUAUUUUGUGUGUGUGUUUGUGCUUGCUUCCACUCCUCGGGUCUGUGUCACAGCACUCCUGAAGGUCAGGGGACAGCUUGUGGGAGUCAAUCUUUCCACCCCACACAUCUGAGAGACUGAAUAUAAUGUCCAUCAGGUUUGGCAGCCAACGCCUUUACCCACAAAGCCAUCGUCUCAGCCCCAGUUUUACUCUGUGGCGUUGUUAGUGUGUGUUUGCUUUUGUUGCCUGUACUGUUGGUGUCAUAUCUAAGAAGUCAUUGCCAGAUCCAACGUUAGAAAGUCUGUAUUAUUCCUUUGUUUUCUGUUACUGUUUUGUUUUAAAAACAGUAGGCAAGUACUCUACCACUGAGUUACAUCCUCAGAGCGUAAAAGUGCCUCGUCUUAAUCUACCUUUCUGUAACGAUUGGCCAAUCACGAGUUUUACGGUUUAACCCACUGUCUGCAUUUUCCAUCUUCAGCCACAGUGACCUUGCAGUGUUUGUAUUUAGGAGGGUUAUCUUGGACCAGGUCUAUCAAACGUAUCUCCUUAUUUUCUCAAUUAUUAAGACCAAGAUAUAUAUGAUGUACAAGGAUUUAAACCAUCUAAAUCUAACCAUAGCUGAUAAGUUGCUUGGAGUCGGUUCUUUUUUCUCCAGCUGUUCUUGUCUGGGCUCGCCCUGUGGACAGAGAUAUUCUUCUCACUCAGGCGGUUUCCUCCCACUGCUAAGAAUGGUGGUGAGCUAUCGCUCUGCUUUCCCCAAUACCAGUCUUUCAUAAUCAUGUGUCUAAAGCAUUGGAUACUUCAUGCUCUAGUUUUUGUUUUUACAAAUAAAAAAACAAUCUGGUUUUUAGCAUCUGGUAGGAAGGUCUGCUGACAUCAUCAGUAUCCUGUCCUUGUUGGACCUUGGAUGCACAAACUGGACGAAUAUUAGUCUCUGGCUCAUAGUGUGAUUCUUUCAUUGCUUCCUUAUUUUUAAACAUUUGUCAACAUGUCUGACUCUUCCAUCAAUAUGAAAACCAAGGCAGUAGCAAAAGUAGCUUGCUCCCUGCCUGUGACUUUCACACUGCCCUCCGUCUGUCAGGCCGAUAUCAUGCUAAAAAAUCCUUACCCAAUGAAUUCUUCAAAGUAGAUAUUUUGCUGUUUGUAACUCUGUAGAAGAAUUAAAUUGCUCGUGGUCUUCUGGAACAUUUGUUUUAAAUGGAUGGAAUUUAUCUGCUGCUGUGUACAGAGCUCCUUGACACCCAUGCCAGUGACAAGGUCACCUCUUCUAUAGCCUCAUUAGAGGAGUAACUCAGACAGAAGCCGCCUGAGCACUCACAAUCCAGAGGUAACUGUGAUCAUCAACAACGCAGGAUAAGAUGUGUCCUGCUGAUCUCCUAGUCCCGUCUCUAUGGAGACAGGCCACAUCCCUUUCUUCUGUAGAAUGUCUCAGGAUGACAGGACUGCACUUAGUCGGGGCUCUGAGCACACAGCUGCCCUUUCUUACCCUGGCUGUGUCGCCCACACGUUAAAUUUCAGUUUUCCUGCCAGCGAUGAAGGUGUGUCCCCUCUGUGUCAGGGAUCGACAGCUGUACUGUGAGAUCAUGUUCUUGGCAAUCCCCUAUGCCCCGUCUGGUGGGUAGCAGUUGUGGGUCAGACAACUGCGGUGUUCUGUUGCCCUCUGCAGUGACAGCAGGCCUGUGGGCGUGAGUGUAAGAGUCCUUGUUGGUUUGUCUUAGGCACUUUGCACAUGGAACUUCCCGUUUCUGUUGGGUGUUUUCUUGGCUCUGUCACAUGUUCACAGUGGCCCAUGGAGACUACUUGGGAUGUGAGAUUCUUUUCAUUUAUGUGUAUAAAUUUGAUAUCCAUGGCUUAGUUGAUUGGGACCCCAAGGUCUAAGACACAAGAGUGUGACUUUGCAAAGGUCUCAGUUCUUCUGUCCUGAGACAACUGAACUUUUCCUCUGCAAUCCUUGCAUCAGCGUGGCUCUUCUAAGGAGGCCGGAACUGCAGAUUAAAGGUAGGCCUGGGCAGAUGCUUCUGUCAGCACUGUUUAAUGGAUAGGGCUGGAUACUAUAAUUGUCGUAACUUUCAUGGGUCAUAGUCAUGAACUGGGAGUAAAAUACUUAAAAACCACAGCGUGUUAUCUUGAUGUCCCUCUCCUGUGUGUGGUGCCAGGAUUUCUAGUCUUAGACCUCUCCCUUUCAUGACAUCACCUAAGAUUACUAAUCUGUUUUAAGUGGAGUCAUGCAAUAUGUACUGUUUUUAUAACUCCAUAAUAUUUUGUCUUAUCACGUAGACCCAAUAAUUUUGACCCUUCUCCUACUGAUGCCUUCAGGCUAUUCCAGAGUUUUCUGGUCAUUGCAAGCAGUGGCCACUGAGCUUUUUAUUCCUUGGGACACUGAUGAAGCCAGGCCUGAAGGAGGCCGAGGGCUCCCAACUGCAGCUUCAGGUUCUCCCGAAUGCGCUGACUCCCCUCCACUCUUGAGUUUCGGACUUUGUUUUGUUCAGAGGUUAGCAUUUCUACAGCCAAAAUCAACUUCUGGUCUCCUCCCAGCCUUGAGGUUCUGUUAGCGCUGGUGGGUGCCUGCACUUCAUGCCCCUACCAGAACUUACCAGGUGCUGUUGGAAUGAUAAUGGAUUUUGAGCCUCAGGCAGCUUUCUGGUUCUUACCUUAAACAGUUUAAAAACAGAAGUCCAACCAGGCAUGAUAAUACGCAGUGGCCAUGCCGCCCUGGGGUAGUGGAAGCAGGAGGAUCAGGGUUUGAGGCCAGCCUCUGCUCUGCAGCCUGGACUAUAAAAACCCUUCAUGAGGACGGCUAUGACACUUGGGAAAGCUACAUUCAGACUUGCUUGUUCCUUCUGUACUCCCGCCCCACUUUCUAGAUUAAGGCUACUCUGUCCUCUAAGGCCACCAAGUUGCCCAGGGAACAGGUGUGAGCUCCCUCUGUCUCAUCCUUGCCUCCCAGGGUCCCAGAGAGUUGGACACCGGAUGGUGGGGCCAGCGUCUGUCUGGCAGCCUCUUCUUCCACAGCAGGUUAUGUUGGGCUUCUCCCUUCACUCUGGUGACCAGUCUACUGUCCCCUCUGCUGACUGUGUAACCCCACAGCGCGUUCCCUCCAGCUUUUGCCCCUUAUACACACAGAAUGUUUAAAGUGAUACUUGUUCAUGUUAAAACUGCAAAUGUGUAGGUGACCUCUUGCUUUCCAGACAGGGCAUAGUGUGGUAGCAUGCAGGCUCUCCACACCUUGUCUUGCACUUGGGACUGUUGGGCCAACAGAGCUGUAGCCACAUUUAGACUACCCAGUCCUGCUCGGGGGAACAACUGAGCUGUUUCUAGCAACACUGAGUGUAUUGUACUAAGUCUUAAAUAUCUAUUUAUAUGUGUUUUCAUGUGUCGAGGCAAGUAUGCCCGAGGAGAAGCAUGGGGACGGACACAGGAUGCACCAGCUAAGCCUUCUGUAAGAUGCUUCCAGUUGGCCUUCCCCACACCUUUACCAAUGCUUGUCCCUAAACUUGGGCAUUCGUCAAUGCGAGAAGUGAAGGGUAAUUCUCAAUUGUAGCUUUAAUUGGUGUGUUUAUUGAUUUAAAGUGUUCUUUACAUAUUAAGGAAAGUAACUAUUUGUGUUGCAAGUACUUCUGAUCCUCUCUGACUUUUAUAGUUUAUGACAUUUUGCUGUUGAGCAUUUUAAAUAUACAGAUGUACUUGUUUAUUGGUAUUUUUUUCUGCAUCUUAUGAUGAGCUCAGAAAGCUUGGUCUAAUUCAACACUAUCCUUUGAAUCUCAUGCUUUUUUUUUUUUUUUUUUUCUGUUGGUUCUAUCUGGACUUUGUAAGAAGUGAUGUGUGGGUAGGAAGCUUCUUGUUGCUACACAUAACUCAAGUCACAGCCACCAGGCAGUACAGCGGCUGGUGUGUUUCUAUGUCACAGCCAUCAGGCAGUACAGCGGCUGGUGUGUUUCUAUGUCACAGCCACCAGGCAGCGGCUGGUGUGUUUCUAUGCCAGUUCCAGUCCACGUGCUGCUGCAGUUGGUGCUUUGCUAUGUGGUGAGGGCGGUCCUACCUCCUGCCUCAACUCUUCUCUAGUUUCCUGUUUACACGUGUGAGUAUUCACCUGUCCCAAGUCAUCUUGGUUUUCUUCCUGUACAAUAAGGUAUCUUAUUCUGUUUUCCACCAGUGGCUUAACCUAACCUGACUGAAAUGUUUCUUACACUUGUGCAUGUGUGCCGGCCCAGGGGGAAGGUCAGAGGGCAGUGUUGUUGGAUUGGGUCUCCUUCUACCACUCGGCUCUGGGGAUUAUUUUGAGCUGAGGUUGGCAGGCUUGGCAGCCAGCACUUUGACCAGCUGAGCCAUAUCAGUCAGUGCCCUGAGAUGGUGUGUGACCGGGUCAGGUGUGGUGAUGCAAGUCUUUCAUCCCAGUACUCGGGAGGCAGAGGCAGGUAGAUCUCUGAGUUCAUGCAAAGAGUUCAGUGGUCGAGCACACCUUUAAUCCCAGCACUUGGGAGGCAGAGGCAGGCCUCAAAGUCUACAAAGUGAGUUUCAGGACAGUCAGGGCUACACAGAGAAACCCUGUCUCAAACAAACAAACAAAACAAGAACAACAAAAACAAAACAAAAAAAAAACCAAGUAUGUAAAGUCUGUGGUCAGUAAUGUUAGCCUGUGCAGUUAGAGGACCUUGACUGACACCCAAGUGGAUGUCUCACCCUGCCCCUGCAGGCCCUGUCCCUUCCAAAACAGGCACUUCUGUCACAGAAUACUUUUUUUAAAACUUACAUUUGCUUGGGGGAGGGGAGCAGUUCUAGUUCCAUGAGGCACAUAUGGAGGUCAAAGAACAACUUGUCGAUGUCUCUUCUCUCCUCCCACUGUGUGGGAGUAGGAAUUGAAUCAGGUUAUCGAUCUUGGGGCAAGCCCCUGUAGUUGCUGAGCCAUCUCUGUGGCCCGCAGAGCACUUAUAAUAUGUGGUUACUUGUUGCUGUCACAUUGUCUGUGUACAGCUUGGUGGCCUUUGUCACUGGCGUGCUCUGUGACACUAUUGUGAUAAAAAUGUUGAUGAGUUUACACAAAUCUAGUAAAUUGAACCCAAAAGCCAAGAGUGGUGGUGUACCCUUAAUUCCAGCACUUUGGGGGCAAGUUCAGGUCGUUCUCUGAAUUUGAGAGCCUCCUGGCCCACAUAGUGAGCUCCGUGGCUGCAUGGUCGCAAAAGAACACCAACGCCCUUCCCCCACAAAUCGAAUUGUACUGAAGGUCACAGUCAGAGAAAGCAUAGCAAGGAUGGCUGCUCUGAGCCCCUCCUGUGCACUUCUGUAGACCUAGCCCUGGGGUCUAAAUGGAGUCUAGUUUUAGCACCUGCACUUGACUGCUGUGCCCCACCCUGACCCACCUUCUCCUGAUCCCAGAUUGCUAGGACUUUGAACAAAAUGGUACUUAAUUGUAGUUGUGAUUGGUAUGUUCUUUGAUUUAAAGUGCUCUUUACAUUUUAAGGAAACUAACCAUUUGUGUUGCAAACAGUUCUGGUUCUCUCUGACUUUUACAAUUUAUGACACUUUGCUAUUGAAUAUUUUAAAUAUACGUGUUGAAAUGUAUGUGUUUAUUGGCAUUUUUUCUUGCUUUUUGCAUUUUAUAACGAGCUCAGAAAACUUGGUCUAAUUCAAGACUCUUUGGUGAAUCCCGUGCUUUGUUUGCCUGACUCCUUUGGCUCUAUCUGGACUUAAGUUGGUAUAAUGACUGGGGUCAGGAAGUCUGCUGUGGCUACACAUUUACUGAGUGACACAGGACAAAAUGGACUGCAUGCUGGCUGAGCUUCUCAGGCCACAGUGGAACUAUUAGGAAAAACGUUAAAUCAUUGUUCUCAGAUGUGUUCCCCAUGAGGUCCAGCCAUUCCCACCCAGCAAAUGGUUCCCUCAGCCUGGCAGUUUCAUCUUUGAUUUUGCUCUUUCCUGAUUUUGAGAGAGAGAGAGAGAGAGAGAGAGAGAGAGAGAGAGAGAGGAAGAGAGGUAUCUAUUUGGUGUGGGGUGGGGCCAGGACUCACUAGCUGUAACAUCUGGAACAUGUUACAUGUCUGUCCAUGUCCGCCUUCUGCUUCAUCUGUGGACACUUCUGUCCGUCUGUUCUACUGAAUGGUUUUUCGGUUUGCAGUUUGUCUUUUAAGACCUCAGCAAGUCUUUGAAUCAGUCCUGGCAGGCUUUGCUGUCAGCAUGUCAUGCAUAUCACACGUUCUUUGGAUCCAUUUUGACGUUUAACCCUUUCAGCUUCCAGAAGUUGCUUUGGUGAAUUGCGUGAGGUAAUAUGGCUAUUUUUAAAUGACUGUUUUCCUUAGCAUCAUAAAUUAUUAGCUAAAUAAUUCCUUUGGCCUAGUUGGCUGGAGCUGCCUUUCCUUAGGCUAUCCCAGCGCCCUAUUAACUUCAUACUGUUUGAAUACAUCGUGAUACGGAUACCUGUCUCAUGUGUGUGCAGCUCACAGAUAAGUCGUGCUCCACAGACAACAGUGUGACUGUUGAAGGGCUCAGUGACCUGUGCUUACACGGCUUGUUCAGGUCACAGGCAGCUGAGGACUCAGCUCAUGUAUGUUCAGUGUUCCUUGGCACAGGACGGGGACCUUGGAGUUUUCUUUAUCAGCACUCCUGCCUCAGCAAAUGAAGGUCAGCCAACACCUCAUUGCUACCCAGAUCUCUUGGCAAACAGACAUUUUUAGUAGGACAGAGCCAAGGCUUCUUCAUGUAGGCUUUGUAUAUUCAUAAGAUUUGUUCCUUGAAGUGGCGUGUUUUGGCGUGUGGCUGCUUGUGGUUUUCUGUCAAAGUGUAUGAUGAUGGUAGCUCAUGAAAAGACAUGUCCACCCGCACUCUGUCUUAAAUGUAGACACUGGCUUCCCCACAAAGGCUGUUGGGGAGGCAAACAGCAUACUGGCCAGAAAGACACUGUGUCAGGACACCAGCUCUCACCCUGGACUGUCUCUUGUUUACUUCAUAACCCUCUUGCUCCCUUGACUUUCCUGUGUAUAAGAAGGGUUAAUCAUUAUCUACCUUGGACUUGAGUUAGGGCUAAAGAAAUAACACACUGUGCUUGGCACUCCUGACCCAGGAUAGGCCUGGCCUUGUAGGGUUUCCAGCCAGGAACGGUUGUCACUGGUGGGUAUGUCCCAUGGAACCCAUCCAUCUCCCAUGCAUCUCUCCUGUUUUGUUAGCAUUUGCUACACUUAAUUCACUGAGAAACCAUGAACAUCAUAGCCGUGUUCCACACAGCCCACCCGUGGGAUCCAUCAGCAGGUGAUGCAGGAUUGCACUGGCCAGGCUGUGUGCCGACCCGACCGGACCUGACGGUGCUCUGAGAGGCCCUGGCUCUGUUUGUGCUCUGAGAGGCCCUUGCUGUUUGGUGCACAGGAUGGGCUGGAGUGACCUGCUUAUAGGUUUGUUGUGUUGUUGUUGUUUUGCUUAUAGGGUUUUUUAAUUUAAAUAGUUAUGUAUUUCCAUGUUCCUUUUUUUAUUUUUGGUAAAACUAUUAACUUUCCUUUUUAAAUGUUAAUUUUUGGGAAAUUGAUUUAUAACAUGUCUCCAAAAUCUGUGACUUUGAGGUAGCAGUUCUGUGGUUGGUAUAUGUGAUAUUGUGAGCUGUUGACUCGUUCAUUGCUGCAGGUGGUGGCUCUGAGCUCACAGCCUCCUAUCUGUCCUUCCUUCCUACCCCCAUGGCCUUUAUGCUUGCCAACCUGUGGACCUGCCUGUACUUGGUCCCUCAUGUAAGUGUAUGCAUCUGUCUCUUCAUGUCUGUCUCUUCAUGUCUGUCUCACCUCCCAUGGCGUGGUAUCUAUGGAAGUGUAUGAUAAGAUUUUUAUUCCUCACUGUGGCUGAAUAAUAUUCCAAUGCCUUAGCACAUUUCGUUUCGUUUCUCCAUCCCAUCGCAGGUUUGAAGUGUUUCUUAUUGUGUAUGCAAACAAUGCUGCUAUGAACACGUGUGUUCAAGUCUUUAUGCGAAAGUGUUUUACAUAGUUUAUGUACAUAGAGAAGAGCUACUACUUCGAGAUGGUACAGUAGUUUAACUAGAUCUGAGGAGCUGCCGUUGUGUCCCACGCCCCUGUUGACUACCUCUGCCCUGAGGCCCUGUCUCAGCCGAUCCUUUGUUUUUCAAGUAGGUUCUUACUGGUACGUGAAUGAGUGAGUGAGUGAAUGAAUGAGUGAGUGAAUGUGUGCAUGCAUGCUUUUUUUCAAGACAGGUCUUCUCUGUAUAACACCUCCGGCUGUUCUAGAACUUGCUUUGUAAACCAGGCUGGCCAAGAACUCAGAGAUCCUCCUGCCUUUGCCUCCUGAUGGUGGGAUUAAAGGCGUGUGGCUGCCACCUAGCUGAACGAGGUCCUCUUGAUUGGCAGGCAAACAUUCUGCCAGUGAGACACAUCCCACAGCAUAAUUAAUGUAUACAUUGUGUAUAUACCCGUGUGGGGGCAGAGGACAACUUGUGGGAAGUGAUUUUCCUCUGCCGCAUGAUCCAGAGAUCAAACACAGGUGUGUCACCUACCAAGCCCUGUCACUGGUCACAUCCAUGUGUUACAGGUAGUUUGAAGGCUACGAGUGUAACUCAUAUAAUAGAGCUUGCCAACGGCUUUCUCUCCACUGCUGCAAGAAUUAAAAAGCGACCCUAGUGUAGAGAAAGCCAACAACUGGCUGCUUCAGGUUCCAUGCUGCCGUGUCCACAGAGACCACAGGUCUUAGGCAGAGGAAAGGCAGCACCCGUGUGACUGUCCCAGUGAGGUGGUGACACUGUUCCUCCUAUGAGCAUGAUGUGGAGGCUCUGUGAAGUCAUCCACUUGUUUGCUCGAUUGAGCAGAAGAUUUUAAUUUUUAAAAGCCGUGAUGUUAGAUUUAUUCAGUUAUUCAGCCUUUCUUGUGCUUUUUUUCUUUCUUUCCUUUUGAAAGAAGGGUGUUACUAGUCACACGGCGGCGGCGGUAACUGUCUUUCUGUGUUGCUGGGCCUGCCUGCUGUCGUGAGGCGCUAGCUUGUGGAAGGAUCACACACUGCCUUGAUGCCCUGCAAGACAAGGGCUCCUUCUGUAUGCUAUGCCCCUCGUCCUCUUUUCAGACCCCACUUCUGGAGUCGAACAAAGACACUCAAUUUCACGCCCGUCAUCCGGGCUCCAUGUGAGACCCUGGAUCCCUGAACUGAGCCUGUCGCUCGCUGGUCCUCAGAAUGCUGGAGGGUUUCUGUGGCCUUCAAGGGCCUUAACACUGAGCUGUACGAUCACCAGGGCACCCAGUGCUCACUCUGGCAGGUGGGUGAGCACCUUGACUAUGAGACUUGGGGUGUUGUGGCUGUAGGAUCUGCAAAUGUCCCCCUCCUGAGCUUAACCAGUGCUCCAAAGAGCAACUGUCCAUCCUUCCAUAUGCAGACAUGCGCCUUGAGCCUGCAGACAAGAUGCUGAGUUAACAUCCAACACUUCAAGUAUGUGCCUUCUAGAGCAACAGCUGAGCUGGGGCAUAAGGCUGUAAGUACAGGGAUGUUUCCUUUGAGGGCCGCUGCAUGGGGACCUGCGCUGUAUGUCCCCGGCCAGUCUCAGCGUCACACUGAUGGUCUCAUUAAUAUCAAUACCUCAUUUAUGAUUGUUAAGCCUAAGCCAUUCCCAGUCCUAGAGGUUUUUUGUUUGGGAUGGGUUCUUAUAUUCAGCCCCUACUGGCCUGGAUGGAACUUGUAGACCAGGCUGGCCUCAUGUGUGCCAGCCUGCCCCAUGGACCUGGACAAUUUUGCUGCCAUAGACUUUGAAGACCUACAUGAAUGUCAGUACACUGCCAGGGAAGAUUGAGACCAGGAUAAUAUUAGAGCUGAUUAAGAGGUCUGGUCUGAGCACAGCUUUCUAGAUGUUUCUUACGUUUUGUUUGUUUUUUAAGGGACAAAAAUCUUAGCGGGUUAACCAGCUGGUCUCAAGUGAUCUUCCCUCCUUAAUCUCCAAGUGGCUGGACCCACCGGGUGCCAUUGGCCCAGCUACCUUUCUUUACAAUUAUUUUUGGUAUGUGUGUUAUAUUUCUGUGCAUCACAUGCAUGCAGUAGGCCAGAAGAGGGCAUCAGAUCCCCUGAGCCUGGAGUUAAAUGGUUGUGAGCUGCCAUCUAGGUGCUGGGAUUUGAACCUGGGUCCUCUGGGUGAGUGGUUAGUGCUCUUAACAGCUAAAUGAUUUCCAUACACACACACCCCAGGCUGCAUUUUUUAAAUCCUCAACAAUGGCAUGAGGAUGAGUAUAUUGUGAGUGAGGGGCCCGGUGUGGGGCAGGGGAGGGCUGCCCACGCCUUUGUGACACUUCUCUUCAUCCUACCGAGUACACAGCUAUGGUGUCCCAUGACACCUGGGUGCUUGGUGCACCUCACUGGAGGCUCAGUUACUCUCGGAAGUCAUUGUUCUAGGGCUACUGGACUGCAUGAUAUUUCUAUCUCACUGUAAGAAUGUAUCAAGACUGUUUUCAGGAAAAUUACUAGUGUGGAGGUUUUCCUGGUUUGGGGGGUUUUGGGGGGUUUUGUUUUUUUGUUUGUUUUUAAUAUAACCUGACAUCCUCAUUAAGAAUUGCCUUUCCCCUGGUUUAAUUCCUGGUUUUUUUCUCUCGAAUAGACUCUGAAGACAUCCAGUCUGACCUUUAACAAGAAGCUUUAGAUGAUGCAAGCAGCUCUCUCUGGGUUCUGUUUUGCUUUGGUGCUGGGAUGAAACCCUGUACACGAAAGGCCGACCCUCUCCUGCUCAGCUCUGUCCCCAGACCUCUGCUAAUGUGGAGAGUUAGUGCCACCUGGGUUUCAUGAAUCUUUCUCCCUGGUCUCCCUGGAUUCUGUGUUCUUAUGUUCAACCUACUUCUGCCCACCCAGGUUAUUCACUCCUGUCAGCAGGAAAAGGAGGUGGCGGUUGGAGCCUUGCUCUGCUUCUUGCCUUUGGCUACAGGCAAGGCCCUGGGUUGCUGAUAACAAAGCGUGUUUGAGGAGGAGUGUGUUUUGCAAAGCACUUGGGGUCUCCAGCAAAGGGAAACAGUGAACUAUUGGCCAUGGUUUCAAAGCAGACCCGUGAACAAAAUGACUGACUGGCCCUGUCCUGCUUUUCACUGGAACGGGCCUCAGAAGGUGAUGGCACAAGCCAGGAGGUAACUACAGAAGAAUGUAGCAUAGCCAGGGGUGAGAAUAGAAAGCACCCCAAGGCUCAGGAGACUGGGGGCCUGCCUCAGCCUCAGCGGUGAGGGCGGCAGGUGAGCAGGGCUGGCUGUGGUCCCUAGGCUUGUAUAUUUAGUAGCUUUGCUCUCUCUGCUGUGUUUGUAGUUUAGUUCUGCUGGGUUAUUUAAACUUAGCCCUCCAGAUUCCAAGUGCUUGGCCGUUGUUCUUUCUCCUCCCCCAUGGUCCAUAGCGAUCUGAGAGAGUCGGAAUGGAGUCUGAACUGCAGAACAUAUACAGGACGUACAAUACAGCUCCUUUAUUUUAUUUUUUGGGGGGACAGGGUCUCACUGUGUGUAGCUCUGAGUGUCCUGGAACUCACUCUAUAGACCAGGUUGGCCUCGAACUCAGAGAUCCCCAGGUAUCUGCCUCUAUUGAUUUUAGUUGUUGGCUGUGGUUUUUUUGCUUUGGUUUCGUUUUUUUUUUUUUUUUUUUUUGGGUUUUUUUUGUUUUUUGUAGCCCAGGUCAGCUUUGAACUCAUGUGUUGGCUUCUGAAGUACUGGGCUCACAGGACAGACAUAUGCCAUCACACACAGCCACUAAUGGUUCUAGACGUUUUAUCGCAGAUGAGAGGUGUUUGUCACAUUGGAACAACCCCUCUGGUGUCCUGGGAAUAAAUCCAUGAUUGUAUCCUUGAGCAGUGAAAGGUUUGAAUGGCGUUUUCCUGUCAGCACUACAUCUGUGGCUGAGUUACCAUCCCGUCCACUACAGCCUACAUACACACACACACACACACACUCACGCUAGCGCACACACUCACACACACACUCACUCACUCACACACACUCACACACACUCACACUCACACACACACACUCACUCACUCACACACACACACAGAGUUUUGGUUGCAGUGAACUGGUUUCGUCUUCCUGGUUGUGGUUGCUGGUUGAAGGUUGUCUCCCUGGUUAUGGUGGGACCUCGUUACUAACACUGAGAUGAUGUGGUGCCCUUUGGGUUAAGGACGUACCUAGAAGCCAUUUACCCAGUGGACUUGUUCCUUAUGUGACUCAACUCUUGGGGUUCCUGCAGUCUCAGCUGAGGGUCCUGUCACCCCUAUGUUGCAUUAAUCCUUUGCUCAUCUUACAGGAUGUGUUCUGACUCCCCCCAUUUCUGAGGGCUUGUAAAGCCUAAGCUCUCUGAGUACCUCUCAGGCUGGGACUUAGAUGGCCGAACCUAUUCCCUCUGCUGUGAGUAAGUCUGCUUUCCACCCAGUGGGGAGCUGAAGGGAGGCUGGGAGAGAAGGGGUACCAGCCAGAGGGCUGGGGCGUGGGGAAACGGGGAUGGAGAUGCUGGAGUCUUCAGGGACCAGCCUACCUGGCAGUCCACAAACCUCAGUGUGUGUGUUUGUGGUGGUGUGUGUUUAUGUGUACAUAUGAGCCUACCAUGUGCUUGUAAAUGUGUACAAGUGAUAUAUGUGUGCCUACUGUUUGUGUAUGUGAUCUGGGUUUUUUGUUUGUUUUUUGUUUUUUUGAGAUAGAGUGUCUCGGUGUAGCCCUGGCUGUCCUGGAACUCACUCCAGUAUGUGUGUACACGUGAGUCUACCAUAUGUAAAUGUGUGCAUAUGAGUCUACUACAUGUUUAUACAUGUAAGUGAAUCUACUGUGUGUACAUGUAUAUCUGUGAGCCUAGUAUGUGUUUGUAUAUGUGUUCAUAUGAAUUACUGUGUAUUUGCAUGUGUGUGUGUGAACCUGUGGUGUGGGUGUGGAUAUAAAGUAGAGCAGACUGCUCAGAUUUCUGGGUAUGAGUUGAGAGGACCUUCUUCUCAGCAUGGCCUGACCCAGGCUCUCUGGGCACGUUACAGCCUCGGACCCUCCGUUUCCCACCUGGACCUUGUGGAGAAUAUGGAUUCCUGAGCCUCUUUAGACUCAAAGAAGGGGAUCCACAGUCCUCCCCAUGACUCAAAGAGGGCUGCAGGGUUUAUAGGGUGCUCUGUGCACCUUGCAGCUCUGGGACCUUCGUGACUCUCCUCCUUGGAACCUGGAUGGCAUGCUAGAGCUCAAAAACACCAGAGAUGGGGACACUAUUUCCGGACGGACUUACAUUUCCAAGCCAAGGCAGUGCCCUGGAAGACUCCUGCUGUGACCACAAGCUCAGAGAAUGGAAGGCAGGUGAACUCCUCUGUGUGACAUAGGUGGCCAGGACCCGGCAGAUUUGGAGAACCCGCUCGCUGCACUUGAGUUAGCCCAAGUGUUGAACGCUCCCUUAGUUCUGAGACCUGUUUAAUUGUGAGUUAUUGGCAUAAAGUUGGAAGCUGUGGGAAGAGUAUAAAAUGAGAAUAGCAACCCUCUCCCCUCUCCUACCUCCCCACCACACAGAGGCAGCCCUCGGGUGGCUUAGGGAGUGUCUACGCACACAGAGCUUACUGCACCCGACCCUGUCUCAGAGCAAUUAGGCUGUGACUUGUGGUUCAUUUUUUGGAGUCUGAUUUCAUGCAUGCACUUCUCAUGUAGGGUGGGGAACACUCACUUGGAGGCAGGGGGACAUGAGUCCCCUGGAGCCUUUGGCAGGGCAUCAGGACAGGCAGGAGUGAGCCUGGGAGGGGCACGGAGCCGCCGCAGGUGUUUCUUUUCCUGACCGCGGCUCAUGGCCGCGCUCAGGUUUUGCUUUUCACCUUUGUCUGAGAGAAUGAACAUGAGCAGGAAAAAGCAAAA